rnacentral:rRNA from 1 species
CGUGCAGGUGGUUUGGUAAGUUGGGUAUGAAAUCUCCUGGCUUAACUAGGAGAGGUUGCUCAAAACUACCAGACUAGAGGACGGUAGAGGAAGGUGGAAUUCCCGGUGUAGUAGUGAAAUGCGUAGAUAUCGGGAGGAACACCAGUGGCGAAGGCGGCCUUCUGGGCCGUUCCUGACACUAAGACGCGAAAGCAUGGGUAGACAAACG